rnacentral:rRNA from 1 species
ACCCGCUGAACUUAAGCAUAUCAAUAAGCGGAGGAAAAGAAACUAACAAGGAUUCCCCUAGUAACUGCGAGUGAAGCGGGAAAAGCUCAAAUUUAAAAUCUGGUAGUCUUUGGCUGCCCGAGUUGUAAUCUAGAGAAGUGUUACCCGUGCUGGACCGUGUACAAGUCUCCUGGAAUGGAGCGUCAUAGAGGGUGAGAAUCCCGUCUUUGACACGGACUCCCAGUGCUUUUGUGGUGCGCUCUCAACGAGUCGAGUUGUUUGGGAAUGCAGCUCAAAAUGGGUGGUGAAUUCCAUCUAAAGCUAAAUAUUGGCGAGAGACCGAUAGCGAACAAGUACCGUGAGGGAAAGAUGAAAAGAACUUUGGAAAGAGAGUUAAACAGUACGUGAAAUUGUUGAAAGGGAAACGCUUGAAGUCAGUCGCGUUGUCCAGAAAUCAACCUUGGUUCUCCUGGGUGUACUUUCUGGUUCAACGGGUCAGCAUCAGUUUUGAUCGAUGGAGAAAGUCCAAGGGAAUGUGGCAUCUUCGGAUGUGUUAUAGCCCUCGGUCGUAUGCAUCGGUUGGGACUGAGGAAUUCAGCACGCCGCAAGGCCGGGGUUCGCCCACGUACGUGCUUAGGAUGCUGGCAUAAUGGCUUU